CUCUUCGAUACCUGUGAUUCCUCAAAAUGGACCGCAUGCUAGGAGUAAAGAGAAGAAAGUAAACCGACUCCUCCACAGACUCCUUUAGACAGUCUUCAAAGUGGUGCUCCGAAUUAGACCGUCUUAACAGAGCAAGGAGAGAACAGAUUUAUACACAGGCUAAUGACGAACCAGACUCUACCCAACCAGAUUUUUCAUAUAUGAUUGAAAAAGUCCACCAUCUCUAGUAUUAUGGAUCAGUUAUUAAACUUGUUAACAUCAGGAAUUAAUCCUAAUUCAUGGAUUUUUAAGUCUACCGUGUCCACAUCUUUAACAAAAAAACUAGACAUGAACCCUGAAAAACCAAGGAAAUAAGACGGAUAAAACUGCUCUAUGUAUAUAUCUAACCUAUAAAGGCCUACAUUGUGAAAGGACUGCUGGUCUCCCCUACAGAACCGAUUUGUUGGCUUUAGGAUAAAAGCCUUCUAAUAAGCAGCGGAUGUUAAAAAAAAAAAAAAAAAAAAAAGGCAAGUUCGGUGAAGUUCCCAACUUGUUUACAUUUAACCACUCAUUCGUUACCUGCUGUCCUUAUAAUCUGGCGUCUAAAUUCACUUAUAAUGAACACUGUACCUAACGUUUUCUUUCAAUGUGAUGUUAGCAGACUGAAAAUGUUCUACAUCUCCUCAAAUUUAUACUUCGUUCUUUAAGAAAUCCUCGAUCCAAAACUCCUACUCUAUACUCUACAGCCAGUCCUAGAGUGCUUAUUCCUUAUGACUGGCAUCCUCUUCCAGAAACUACUCAUGUUCUCAAUCUGGGAAGACAGCCACACGGAGAAUAAUUUGAGAGUGAGUUAGGUUUAAUGCUAACUCCGUUCGGAAAAUGCGAAGAAUAAAGCAUAACUAAGGUUUUCCUACAAUAUAAAGCUUCCCUGAAAUGAAAUCUCUUCAUCGUUCUCAUUAAAUUUUGAGACCUUUUCUUGAUGAUACUGCAAGCAAAAUAAUGAGAUCAAGAACUGCGAACCAAAAGCCCUUUUUAUCCCUCUCCUGCCACUCUCCCACUGGACUCGUGUGUUCUACCUACACCAAACCAUUAACAUGUCACACUUUCCCCACAUCUGCACAUUAGCUGUGUGUUCAACUAAGCAUGCCACGUUCUCCCAUGACCAAUACAACCCAGUUUACCUCUUUUGCAAAAUUUUCCUGAUCUGACUCAUUCGUGGAGAAUAAAUUCUUUCCACUAUGCUUCCAAACACACCUCAAUAUAGUACUUAGGGCAUUGUAUUUUGAUUUUUAUAGGACUAUCUCCUAAUGAACUCUGAUCCCUUUGACAGCUGAGUCCAGGUCUUAAUCAUCUUCAUUUUCUUUGUACCAGGUAUUUAGCAUACUUCAUCAAGUCUAAGAUGCCACUGAUUACAAGAAACUUUUUCUACUCUAAGAAAACCAAACCAACCAAACUAUCAUUCACAACAACAUGCCAUUAAUUUUAAGACUCACCUUGAUCUCACAGAUGACAAAUGUCUAAAAUGCAGAGCUUAGUUCUGACAAAAUAGGAUAGUAGGUACUUGAUACAUUUAUUGAAAUAAAUGAUCAACAUACUCAUUUAUUUAGUUUUUCCAUUCUGUCCUAAACUGCCUUUCCCCGCACUUGAACAAAACCUUCUAUUUUAACACGAAAGAAGUGUUCAUUAUGAAUUCACUCUCAAUUUAGUCAGGGGGCUCUCACUUUUGCUGUGGUUGGUAUAGAAGGAAAAUGAGUGAGUUUAAAAAGCCCUUCUUUUGCAAAUGCUGAGCUCAUUGAUAGUACAUUAGUAAGGCAGGACUGAAAUAAUGCAUUUUUUUUUUUGUUGUCCCAUUUAUUUUUUUGUUGUUCUUAGCAGUCUAGAUUAAUGCCACACAUGCUCCGAGUUACUUUUGGCUGAAAAAGUUUACCAAGGGUAGCAUCAAAGUUUCAGGACAAUCAACAGAAACUAAUUUUACUAAAUAUCUGAAAGUUGAAAAAUGAAAAUAUACUAUGACUACGUGUAGUCUCAGUCCAUACUGCUGUGUGUACAUUGGCCCAAAAAACUAAGUCAACUAGCGGUUACCCUGAUAAAAAUGUUUAAUGUUUUUAGAAGGAAAUCUAUUUCUACUUACUACUUUAAAGAUAAAAUAUUGUAGAGCAAAUCAACAUCAGACACAUCCUUAUAAAAAUAAUGUUCUUUUAAUGUUAAGGAUAUUUUAAAAAUCCAUUAAGUAAAAAAAUUGUAAAAGAAGUUAAAAAAAUAGCAAAAAAUGGAUAUACAUGUAUAUACAUAUAUUCAGGCCUUCAAUUAGUGAAUGACUGUGAUGCCUUUAAACAAUGACAAAACAACCAAACUUACCCAUAAAAACCAAAAGACAAAUUACCAGCAGACAUUUUAUGGAGCCUCUAAGGUACCCCCACAUUGGUCUGUCAACUUACCAAAGCCUGGCUGCUACAUGAUCAAGUACAUUCUCAGAUAACCUAUUUGCAAUUCUGAAACAUGUUUUAUUUCAACAAAUAGGGCCUUAACACAGUUAAGUUUUGAAAAACGUGUACAACUAAGAACAAUCCAUGUGUUGCUCUAAGAGAGCUGACAAACUUUUCCCAUAAAGGUUUACAAGUCCACAUUUUAGGCUUUAUUAAGCCACAUAUGUAUGGCAUCUGUAGCGUUUUUUUUUUUUUUUUUAACAACCCUU